GUUGGAUCCACACAGAUUUCUUGGAGAGUAUUAGAAGGAGAUUCAAGCUGUGGAAGAUAGAGAGGAAUCCGCUUUACCUUGAGACAGUAAUCUAUUUCAAUGGCUUGGAGAAAAUUACAAGCCAUCACUGCAUUUUCACUACAAAUGCCCUUCAAUUUUGGUAGAUUGGACAAAAUUAAAGUCCUCAAUUUAGGAAAAUUGAACUUGAUGGAAUC
rnacentral:lncRNA from 1 species